rnacentral:rRNA from 1 species
UGAGUUUGCGCCUGGCGCAGGUCGAACGCAGUCGGCUUGCCUACUACAUGCUGUCGAGCGGACAGAUGGGAGCUUGCUCCCUGAUGUUAGCGGCGGACGGGUGAGUAACACGUGGGUAACCUGCCUGUAAGACUGGGAUAACUCCGGGAAACCGGGGCUAAUACCGGAUGGUUGUUUGAACCGCAUGGUUCAAACAUAAAAGGUGGCUUCGGCUACCACUUACAGAUGGACCCGCGGCGCAUUAGCUAGUUGGUGAGGUAACGGCUCACCAAGGCAACGAUGCGUAGCCGACCUGAGAGGGUGAUCGGCCACACUGGGACUGAGACACGGCCCAGACUCCUACGGGAGGCAGCAGUAGGGAAUCUUCCGCAAUGGACGAAAGUCUGACGGAGCAACGCCGCGUGAGUGAUGAAGGUUUUCGGAUCGUAAAGCUCUGUUGUUAGGGAAGAACAAGUACCGUUCGAAUAGGGCGGUACCUUGACGGUACCUAACCAGAAAGCCACGGCUAACUACGUGCCAGCAGCCGCGGUAAUACGUAGGUGGCAAGCGUUGUCCGGAAUUAUUGGGCGUAAAGGGCUCGCAGGCGGUUUCUUAAGUCUGAUGUGAAAGCCCCCGGCUCAACCGGGGAGGGUCAUUGGAAACUGGGGAACUUGAGUGCAGAAGAGGAGAGUGGAAUUCCACGUGUAGCG